UCCCUAAGGUGAAUCAAAUGAUUCGGCGGACCGCCUGUCCAACUCUCGUCGGGACUCACUCACUCACUACAGUCCUCAAAUAAAUUGCAAUAUAAAUCUCAAAUAUACAUCAAAUGUUCCACAAAUUUACAUACACUACAAACUAAAAUCUCAAGAGAUACAAGCAAUACUAAUUUUUCGAAUAAGACAAAGGUCCUCAAUUUUCACAUAAGUACAAGUACAAGUACAAUCGCAGUCUCAAAUAUUACACAAGAUAAGACUAUAACUCAAACUGUACAGUAGAUCAUCCAACCAUUCACACAGAGAACUUUAAUACAAAUGCUUCAUUCACCUCGAGCCCUGUGGAGGGGAAUAAAAUAUUUUGAGGUGAGCUAGAAACUCAGCGAGUAACCAUUAAAAUCAGUAAUCAAAUCAGUUUCACAAUAGUUAAUUUCAAUGAUGUCAUGAUUCAGUAAUCAAAUGUACAUUUAUUGCUCUCGUGAGCCAGUGAAAUCAUUGUACUUAAACACCCAAUACUCAAAUCGAUCAGUUAACAGUGAAACAGUGAUAGGGAGUCAUUAGUGCUCCAGAUGAACAAUAAAUAGUGGUGGAGACGUUGGUUCUAAGUACAAGACUUCCCAAAAACUCAUUGAAACCAAAUCAUGUCAUGAACUCACAUGCAAGCAUACAUGAUAUGCAAUCGAGUAAACAAUGCAAGAAACGGUUCAUAAGUAGAUUUGGAAACAGUUUGGGGUCACUCACAAAUCACGGCUCAUAAUCCUCUUCCAUUAUAGACAAUUUCGUGAAUCGAACUCAAGCCCUUCGACUCAAAUUCAAAGCAACCAAACACUCUCAAAGAUCAAACAGCAUUUCCCCUUAAAUUCUUCAUUUCCAUCCUACAAUAACAACAUCAAAUUACAUCUUACCAACCGCAAUUGCACAUACGGUUCGUAAAUAAUAAAACACAUCCAAUUAGGGCCACAAAACCCUUCAAUCAAAGCCAAUUAGAAGCUUAAGAGCCAACCAUAAGAAAAUCCCCAAAUUAAACCCUAAAAUCGGAAUUUCUGCACAAACCAGAAAUUUUCCGCAAACAAUCAUAUCCAACGUAUACAAGCUCCAUUUUACUCCAUAACAAGCUAUCAUUCCAUGACCAACAUACCAUAAUCAUAUAAAAUCAGAAAAUUUCUCAAUAAAUUAGAAAUUGGUCCAACUCUACUUAAAAUCAUGAAAUCAUCCACAAUACAACAUAUUUAACCACUAUAAACCACUAAUAUACCAUUAUUAAAACAAAAAGGGAACUUUCUUAGCAACUCACCUUACAACUCAAGAAAGAUAGCACCUUAAAGCUUCGCUUUCAAAAAUCAAUCCAUCAAAAGCUUUAAACCUCUAUAGUACACACUUGUAUUGAGUAAUUUGUAAUUCCACUGGUUAAAAACUCAAGAUUUGAACAAAAUUGAAGAUAGAAAAUGAAGAGCUUUCUUCGUUUCUCUCAAGUUAGCCGCGUCAAGCAAGGAGCAAAAUGAAGAUAUUUUGGGCCAAAAGUAGGAUAAGAAUGGAGGAAACAGCCGGUCAAAGCUGCUGUGACCGAUUGUGACACGUCACAAUCCGGUCGGAUUCAAGGCAGAGGAGAAAUCAAUUUUUUUUCAAAACCCUCAAGCAAUCCGACCAACAAUCCGGCCAAGAACUGGCCGGAUUUGCAGCUGGAUUUGAUUCAGAACCUUUCCACCAAAAGUUUUGCUUUCCAAGUUCAAACGUUGCGCUACUCCGCUCUUCCGACA
rnacentral:lncRNA from 1 species